rfam:Picea glauca, whole genome shotgun sequence.
GCAAAAGCCCUAUUUAGGGCUACAAAAAAUCUGUUGUCGAAUUUAU